CUCCCAAGCCUCUCAACAAUGCUCAAAUCGGAGG
rnacentral:sRNA from 1 species